rnacentral:tRNA from 1 species
CGGGGAGUAGCGCAGCUUGGUUAGCGCGCCUGCUUUGGGAGCAGGAGGCCGCGGGUUCGAAUCCCGCCUCCCCGA